AAUCAUACAGGGAAAUCCAGUU
rnacentral:miRNA from 1 species